rnacentral:rRNA from 1 species
UACAGAGGUGGCAAGCGUUGUUCGGAAUUACUGGGCGUAAAGGGCGCGUAGGCGGCCUUUCAAGUCAGAUGUGAAAAGCCCCCGAGCUUAACUCGGGAACUGCAUUUGAUACUGUUGGGCUUGAGACCGGGAGAGGAUAGCGGAAUUCCCAGUGUAGAGGUGAAAUUCGUAGAUAUUGGGAAGAACACCAGUGGCGAAGGCGACUACCUGGCCUGUUCUUGACGCUGAGGCGCGAAAGCUAGGGGAGCAAACGGG